rnacentral:rRNA from 1 species
AUGCACGCUGGCGGCGUGCCUCAUACAUGCAAGUCGAGCGCACAGACGAGGAGCUUGCUCCUCUGACGUUAGCAGCGGACGGGUGAGUAACACGUGGAUAACCUACCUAUAAGACUGGGAUAACUUCGGGAAACCGGAGCUAAUACCGGAUAAUAUAUUGAACCGCAUGGUUCAAUAGUGAAAGACGGUUUUGCUGUCACUUAUAGAUGGAUCCGCGCCGCAUUAGCUAGUUGGUAAGGUAACGGCUUACCAAGGCAACGAUGCGUAGCCGACCUGAGAGGGUGAUCGGCCACACUGGAACUGAGACACGGUCCAGACUCCUACGGGAGGCAGCAGUAGGGAAUCUUCCGCAAUGGGCGAAAGCCUGACGGAGCAACGCCGCGUGAGUGAUGAAGGUCUUCGGAUCGUAAAACUCUGUUAUUAGGGAAGAACAAAUGUGUAAGUAACUAUGCACGUCUUGACGGUACCUAAUCAGAAAGCCACGGCUAACUACGUG